rnacentral:rRNA from 1 species
CUAUGCGCCUUGCCAGCCCGCUCAGGUGUGCCAGCCGCCGCGGUAAUACGUAGGUGGCAAGCGUUAUCCGGAAUUAUUGGGCGUAAAGAGCGCGCAGGUGGUUAAUUAAGUCUGAUGUGAAAGCCCACGGCUUAACCGUGGAGGGUCAUUGGAAACUGGUUGACUUGAGUGCAGAAGAGGGAAGUGGAAUUCCAUGUGUAGCGGUGAAAUGCGUAGAGAUAUGGAGGAACACCAGUGGCGAAGGCGGCUUCCUGGUCUGCAACUGACGCUGAGGCUCGAAAGCAUGGGUAGCGAACAGG